GGGGAGAUCGCAUAGAGGCCUAGUGCACCCGCCUGCUAAGUGGGAGGGGUUUUGCCCCACGCGGGUUCGAAUCCCGCUCUCCCCGCCA
rnacentral:tRNA from 3 species